rnacentral:tRNA from 1 species
GUCCCCGUAGUUUAAUGGAUAGAACGCGAGAUUGCGGAUCUCGUAAUGGAGGUUCGAUUCCUCCCGGGGGCA